rnacentral:rRNA from 1 species
GAACGCUGGCGGCAGGCUUACACAUGCAAGUCGAGCGGUAACAUUUCUAGCUUGCUAGAAGAUGACGAGCGGCGGACGGGUGAGUAACGCGUAGGAAUCUGCCUAGUAGUGGGGGACAACAUGUGGAAACGCAUGCUAAUACCGCAUACGCCCUACGGGGGAAAGGAGGGGAUCUUCGGACCUUUCGCUAUUAGAUGAGCCUGCGUGAGAUUAGCUAGUUGGUGGGGUAAAGGCCUACCAAGGCGACGAUCUCUAGCUGGUCUGAGAGGAUGAUCAGCCACACUGGGACUGAGACACGGCCCAGACUCCUACGGGAGGCAGCAGUGGGGAAUAUUGGACAAUGGGCGCAAGCCUGAUCCAGCCAUGCCGCGUGUGUGAAGAAGGCCUUAGGGUUGUAAAGCACUUUCAGGAGUGAGGAAGGGCGUAUAGUUAAUACCUGUAUGUUUUGACGUUAACUCCAGAAGAAGCACCGGCUAACUCUGUGCCAGCAGCCGCGGUAAUACAGAGGGUGCGAGCGUUAAUCGGAAUUACUGGGCGUAAAGCGCGCGUAGGCGGUUUGUUAAGUCGGAUGUGAAAUCCCAGGGCUCAACCUUGGAAUGGCACCCGAUACUGGCAG